UACGUAGGGCGCAAGCGUUGUCCGGAAUUAUUGGGCGUAAAGAGCUCGUAGGCGGCUUGUCACGUCGAUUGUGAAAGCCCGAGGCUUAACCUCGGGUCUGCAGUCGAUACGGGCUAGCUAGAGUGUGGUAGGGGAGAUCGGAAUUCCUGGUGUAGCGGUGAAAUGCGCAGAUAUCAGGAAGAACACCCGUGGCGAAGGCGGUUCUCUGGGACGGUACUGACGCUGAGACGCGAAAGCGUGGGGAGCGAACAGG
rnacentral:rRNA from 1 species